rnacentral:rRNA from 1 species
UACGUAGGGUGCGAGCGUUAAUCGGGAAUUACUGGGCGUAAAGCGUGCGCAGGCGGUUCGUUGUGUCGGCGGUGAAAGCCCCGGGCUCAACCUGGGAAUGGCCGUUGAAACUGGCGAACUGGAGUGUGGCAGAGGGGGGUGGAAUUCCGCGUGUAGCAGUGAAAUGCGUAGAGAUGCGGAGGAACACCGAUGGCGAAGGCAGCCCCCUGGGCUGACACUGACGCUCAGGCACGAAAGCGUGGGGAGCAAACAGG